AGAUCCCACUUUGGUGACACACUGCGUGGAAACAGCCAUUUCAAACUUAACAACUUGCAACAUCUUGUCCUCAAGACUCUUUGUAGCUCUCCUUUGGAUGCUUUCUUUUUAUCUCCUUACACAGCUCUGCUAAGUACAUGCUGUGAGUGAGCUCCUUAGAAACAUUCGCCUCAUACUGACAAGGCAUCUGGGUGGGAUGAAUGUGGCAAUCAUCUGGAAUGAAAAAAAGGGAUACUGAAAAAAAUGAUCCAUUCGCUUCAUCUGAGGACUGGACAGUACAAGAUGGACACGCACCAGGAAUCCUGUUGUGCUGUUAUUGCUGCCUGCUGAGGAGGACAGACAAUCCGACCACUAAUGUGUCUUUCAGUAUCUUUCAGAGGGAUGAACAGACUGUAGAGUUCAUAGAGCACACAACAGAAAACACGUAUGGCUACUUUCAAGGACCCUCAGUGUCUAAUUAUAUGAAGUACGGACGGGAGGCUGGCUGACACAUAUGAGUAAAUCAAGAUAGAGCAGUGAAAUCCUUUAAACUCUGCAGUCUGGCAAUAGCUUGUCACCUGAUUAAUUUUAACUUCAGUGGGAGCAAUAACCAAACUGACUUUUAAAUGUCUUCCAAACAGAAACAAAUUGAAGAUUAAACUCUUAUUAUACAUUAUGUAAUUGUUUGCUGAAUCUUCUCUAUAACAUAUACAUAUGUAUAUAUAUGAAUAGAUGCUACUCCAUUUUUCGUCAACAAUAGAAUGGUACAAUGAGCCAAAAAGAAAGAAAGAAAGAAUCAGAAAAUCUACUACAUUCAGAAUGAAAGCCUGGAGAUGUACAGAUGUACAGUCUUGAUAAAGGCUGGUUGAACCCUCAUCUCUGCAAUAUAUAUAUACAGAUACAAAAAGAAACUAUGGAAAGGCCAAAUUAGGAGAAGGUUAAAUGAGCAACAGAGCAGAGAUACCCACCAGAUGGGACGUGUGAUAAUACUCAGUGCCUGGCAGUACACAAAGCGUUCUGCCACAGGACGGACCUACACCAAAAGGUUUAUAUUGGCCAACCUGCAACUGGAGUUUGAAUAAUCACCUCCUCUGUGUGUCUAAUAGAGGAAGAAAAUCAAAAUCAAGCGUGGACAAAAUACGCACGUGUGCAGAGGAACCAGACCUAGGAAACGUCUGGUGUUCCAUCUCCUUAAAACUUUUAAAUGGACUUUAAGUAGUGUGCAGACUUUAUUGUGUUUCUGCACCCAGUCUGAGCUCCUACAUGGACUGGUUUGUGUUUUAUUUUUGGUUGGGUGUGAGGAACAACUUUGGUUUAAUGCCUUGAAUCUUCUAUGGGUGCUACCCGGAUGGCCAGGCGGCAUUAGAUCUUCAGUGCCAUGUACUUCCUUUGUAAAAUCUGCAGCAACUGCAGAGCUUAAGAUCUUAAAGAAAUCAAGGUGGGAUGAACGCACAUCCAUUUCCAAAAUGAUGCUGAGAGUUUCUUUUCCAUACUUGUGUAAAAGUCAUU
rnacentral:lncRNA from 1 species